rnacentral:rRNA from 1 species
UACGGAGGGGCUAGCGUUGUUCGGAAUUAUUGGGCGUAAAGCGUCCGCAGGUGGCUUAUCAAGUCUGCAGUCAAAGACCGGGGCUUAACCCUGGAAAGGCAGUGGAAACUGAGAAGCUAGAGUGUGGCAGGGGCAGAGGGAAUUCCCGGUGUAGCGGUGAAAUUCGUAGAUAUUGGGAAGAACACCGGUGGCGAAGGCGGCGACCUGGUCUGAUACUGACGCUGAGGUGCGAAAGCGUGGGGAGCAACAGG